rnacentral:rRNA from 1 species
CGGAGAGGGAGCCUGAGAAACGGCUACCACAUCUAAGGAAGGCAGCAGGCGCGUAAAUUACCCACUCCCAGUUCGGGGAGGUAGUGACGAAAAAUAACAAUACAGGACUCAUAUCCGAGGCCCUGUAAUUGGAAUGAGUACACUUUAAAUCCUUUAACAAGGACCAAUUGGAGGGCAAGUCUGGUGCCAGCAGCCGCGGUAAUUCCAGCUCCAAUAGCGUAUAUUAAAGUUGUUGCGGUUAAAACGUUCGUAGUUGAACUUGUGCUUCAUACGGGUAGUACAACUACAAUUGUGGAUUGUACAUUACCUUAUGUAUGCAAGCGUAUUAUCGGUGGAGUUCUUAUAUGUAAUGAUACUUGUAUUGUUAUAUAUACCUCCUAUUUAAACCUGCUUCAAUGCUCUUCAUCGAGUGCUGUUGUGGGCCGAUACAAUUACUUUGAACAAAUUAGAGUGCUUAAAGCAGGCUCCAAAUGCCUGAAUAUUUUGUGCAUGGAAUAAUGAAAUAAGACUUCUGAUCUACUUUCAUUGGUUUUUAGAUCAAGAUGUAAUGAUUAAUAGAAGCAGUUUGGGGGCAUUAGUAUUACGACGCGAGAGGUGAAAUUCUUGGACCGUCGUAAGACUAACUUAAGCGAAAGCAUUUGCCAAAGAUGUUUUCAUUAAUCAAGAACGAAAGUUAGAGGUUCG